rnacentral:rRNA from 1 species
AAGGGCACCACAAGAACGCGUGGAGCAUGUGGCUUAAUUUGACUCAACGCGGGAAAUCUUACCGGGUCCGGACACACUGAGGAUUGACAGACAAAUACACACAUACUACGGUGUGUGUGCAUGAAAUAUGCUAGUUCUUUCAUGAUUAUGUGAUAGGUGGUGCAUGGCCGUUCUUAGUUCGUGGAGUGAUCUGUCUGCUUAAUUGCGUUUCACUAAGGAUCUAUUCAUACAUUAUACUGUGCAGUACACCAUAUAUUUUAUAUAUGUGUGUCUCGCAUAUAAUAUUAGAUUCUGAAAGCAACGAACGUGACCGCAACCUCUUGUUGCCUGGGAUAUAUUUCAGGCUAUUAUAAAACUAGAGGGACCGCUGUUACUUUCUUUUAAACCAGAGGAAGGUUGCGGCAAUAACAGGUCUGUGAUGCCCUUAGAUGUUCCGGGCUGCACACGUGCUACAAUGAUCAUUGCAGUGCGCAUCUCAUUUUGUUAUACACUGCUUGUGCGUAUGUACUUUCACACUCGUGUGUUAUUAUGUAUUGCACGCAGUAAAGCCUACUUCGAAAGUUGUGGGUAAUCAAUUUGAAGUAAUGAUUUCUCCAAAUAUAUGCACACUUAUAUACAGUGUCUUAUGUCCAUCGCUGCUUCAUGCAGUGUAUGUGUGCAUUCGACUGCUCGUAUGUGCAAUUGUCAAUUCAUGGUGGGGACAGACCAUUGUUAAUUGUUGGUCUCGGUCUUAACUAGGAAUGCCUUGUACGGGUCUUUGGUUCAACAAACCACCCGGAAUACGUCCCUGCCCUUUGUACACACCGCCCGUCGCUCUUACCGAUGGACUUCUCUGUGAGUUUGAGGGACUGGAUUUUAUAUCUAUGGAAACUCAAACGAACAGUGUGGUCUAAAGGAAAGAGAAGUCGAACAAGGCA